CAUUAAAGUUCGAAACCAAAGUUUGGAUGUCGUAUGUUCAGAAAGUAACGUCACCCAAAAUUUUUUUUUCUCUUGACGUCAUCGAUCUAAAAUCAGCUAGUCGAAUUGCUCAGUCUGGGAACAACCGCGCAGUAGAGCGGACGGAUGAGAAUCGCGCUCCGCAGAUUUCCAUUGCCGGGUUCUCUACCUCCUGGAUCCUGCGCUCCGGGUCCGCUUCCUGGUAUAACUCGAGUUCCAGGACAAGCGGUACGUAGUUUUUACGCUCUAGGUCCGCUACCUGUUGAAAACUCGACUUCCAGGAAAAGCGCUACGUAUUUUCUGCGCUCAAGGUCCACUACUUGCGGAAACUUGACUUCCAGGACAAGCGCCCGAUGGUUCCUGCGCUCCAGGUCCGCUACCUGGUAAAAUUCGACUUCCAGGAAAAGCGCUUCGUAGUUUCUGCGCUCAAGGUUCACUACCUGGUGAAACUCGACUUCCAGGACGAACGCUCCGUGGUUUCUGCGCACCAGGUCCGCUACCUAGUAAAACUCAAUUUCAGGAAGAAGUGCUCCGAAGUUUCUGAGCUCAGGUUCACUACCUGGUGAAACUCAACUUCCAGGACAAGCGCUCCGUAGCUUCUGCGCUCCAAGUCCACUACCUAAUGAAACUCGACUUCAGAGACAUGUGGUGAAUGAGGAGGAAGAGGACGAGGAUUUCUGCUCAGUAUAACCCGAGGUGGUUAACGGUGGUUGGAAGUGGUCGGAGUUGAACGAGGAGGAGGACGAGGACUUGUGCUCGGUAUAACCCGAGGUAGUUCGCGUUGGUUGCGGGUGAUCGAGGUGGGCGAGGAGGAGGACGAGGAUGACGACGACUUGUACACUUUCUGUGCCCCACGUGGUGAUCCACUAGUACACAUCCUCCGACGUGACAUCGCUGUGCUACGUAUAAA
rnacentral:lncRNA from 1 species